rnacentral:rRNA from 1 species
AUUGAACGCUGGCGGCAUGCUUUACACAUGCAAGUCGAACGGUAACAGGCCGCAAGGUGCUGACGAGUGGCGAACGGGUGAGUAAUGCAUCGGAACGUGCCCAGUCGUGGGGGAUAACUACUCGAAAGAGUAGCUAAUACCGCAUACGAUCUAUGGAUGAAAGCGGGGGACCGUAAGGCCUCGCGCGAUUGGAGCGGCCGAUGUCAGAUUAGGUAGUUGGUGGGGUAAAGGCUCACCAAGCCAACGAUCUGUAGCUGGUCUGAGAGGACGACCAGCCACACUGGGACUGAGACACGGCCCAGACUCCUACGGGAGGCAGCAGUGGGGAAUUUUGGACAAUGGGCGCAAGCCUGAUCCAGCAAUGCCGCGUGCAGGAAGAAGGCCUUCGGGUUGUAAACUACUUUUGUACGGAACGAAACGGCUCUGGUUAAUACCCGGGGCUAAUGACGGUACCGUAAGAAUAAGCACCGGCUAACUACGUG